rnacentral:rRNA from 1 species
AAAUUUAUUGAAUUUAACUUUUAAGUAAAAAGGCUUAAAUAAAUUAAAGUGACGAUAAGACCCUAUAAAACUUGAUAAAUAAAGUUAAAAAAAGAUAUUAGUUAAUUGAAACUUUUUUUUGUGGKGUUUAUUUUAUUGGGGCGAUUAAAAUAUAAUAAGUAACUGUUUUUUACAUUUUUAUGAUAAAUAGUCAAGACAAAUAAAUGAUCCUUUAUUAGAGAUUAUAAGAUUAAGUUACUUU